UACGUAGGGUGCAAGCGUUGUCCGGAAUUAUUGGGCGUAAAGAGCUCGUAGGCGGUCUGUCGCGUCUGCUGUGAAAACUCGGGGCUUAACCCCGGGCCUGCAGUGGGUACGGGCAGACUAGAGUGCGGUAGGGGAGACUGGAAUUCCUGGUGUAGCGGUGAAAUGCGCAGAUAUCAGGAAGAACACCAACGGCGAAGGCAGCUCGCUAGGACGGUACUGACGCUGAGACGCGAAAGCGUGGGGAGCGAACAGG
rnacentral:rRNA from 1 species